GAGUAUUUAUAGGCCGAGUUGAUUUUGCUGCCAGCAGUGAGCAAGGUAGUGGCUUUCCAGCUCGAGCUCGUAAACAGUUCUGCUGAUGAAAGAAAUCAAAUUUCGCCUUUGCUGUGAAGUAGUUUUUUUUCUGCUUUUAAUAACGAUUUGUGAUAUGAUAUGGUAUUGUUUACAAAUUUUCACCCUCAUUAUAACUUGUUUUAAU
rnacentral:misc_RNA from 1 species